rnacentral:sRNA from 1 species
UAUCCCGAGUGUUGCGUGGAUGUAAAACCCAUUUCACAAGAGAAGAUUGAGAGUGAGAGAGCCCUCAUCAGCCAGUGUGGAAAACCAGUGGUAAACGUCAGCUACAGGCCAGCUUAUGACCAGAUACUGAAACCAGAGGAAAUCAGAAGAUACUAGAGGGCUUCAUGUUUCUGUAAACUAGGUGGCCCAGUUGAAAUCCUUCCCUUCCUCUACCUUGGAAGUGCCUACCACGCAUCCAAGUGCGAGUUCCUCGCCAGCCUGCACAUCACAGCCCUGCUGAAUGUCUCCCGACGGACCUCCGAGGCCUGCACGACCCACCUACACUACAAAUGGAUCCCUGUGGAAGACAGCCACACGGCUGACAUUAGCUCCCACUUUCAAGAAGCAAUAGACUUCAUUGACUGUGUCAGGGAAAAGGGAGGCAAGGUCCUGGUCCACUGUGAGGCUGGGAUCUCCCGUUCACCCACCAUCUGCAUGGCUUACCUCAUGAAGACCAAGCAGUUCCGCCUGAAGGAGGCCUUCGAUUACAUCAAGCAGAGGAGGAGCAUGGUCUCGCCCAACUUUGGCUUCAUGGGCCAGCUCCUGCAGUACGAAUCUGAGAUCCUGCCCUCCACACCGAAUGCCCAGCCUCCCUCCUGCCAAGGGGAGGCAGCAGGCUCGUCACUGAUAGGCCAUUUGCAGACACUGAGCCCUGACAUGCAGGGUGCCUACUGCACAUUCCCUGCCUCGGUGCUGGCACCGGUGCCUACCCACUCAACAGUCUCAGAGCUCAGCAGAAGCCCUGUGGCAACGGCCACAUCCUGCUAAAACUGGGAUGG